rnacentral:misc_RNA from 1 species
GAAAUGCGAUAAGUAAUGUGAAUUGCAGAAUUCAGUGAAUCAUCGAAUCUUUGAACGCACCUUGCGCUCCUUGGUAUUCCUUGGAGCAUGCCUGUUUGAGUAUCAUGAAAUCUUCAAAGUAAAUCUUUUGUUAACUCAAUUGGUUUCUACUUUGGUAUUGGAGGUCUUUGCAGCUUCACACCUGCUCCUCUUUGUUCAUUAGCUGGAUCUCAGUGUUAUGCUUGGUUCCACUCGGCGUGAUAAGUUAUCUAUCGCUGAGGACACUGUAAAAGGUGGCCAAGGUAAAUGCAGGUGAACCGCUUCUAAUAGUCCAUUGACUUGGACAAUACUUUUAUGAUCUGAUCUCAAAUCAGGUAGGACUACCCGCUGAACUUAAGC